rnacentral:piRNA from 1 species
UAGAUCCUGGUGGCAAUGUAACAC